GAUGAACGCUGGCUACAGGCUUAACACAUGCAAGUCGAAGGGAAACGGCCCUUUGUGCUUGCACUGAAUGGAAGCCGACCAGUAACCCGGUGAUUAACGCCUAUCCACCCCUGCCGAUACUCCGGGAACACCUGCUGAUAGCCAGUCUAAUACCUCACGUCCUUCGAUGACUGCGUCAGAUUCGACGGAAUGAUACGGCGGCACCGGUGGGGGAUGCGUCUGUUUAGUUAUUUGGCGGGGCGACGGCGACCCGAGGCGACGAUCAGUAGGGGUUCUGAGAGGAAGGUCCCCCACAUUGGAACUGAGACACGGUCCAAACGCCUACGGGAGGCAGCAGUGAGGAAUAUUGGUCAAUGGGCGGAAGCCUGAACCAGCCAAGUAGCGUGCAGGAUGACGGCCCUACGGGUUGUAAACUGCUUUUAUGCGGGGAUAAAGUGAGGGACGCGUCCCUUUUUGCAGGUACCGGAUGAAUAAGGACCGGCUAAUUCCGUG
rnacentral:rRNA from 1 species